rnacentral:rRNA from 1 species
UACGGAGGGGGCAAGCGUUGUUCGGAAUCAUUGGGCGUAAAGCGCGCGCAGGCGGUCCUGUAAGUCGAGUGUGAAAUCCCGGGGCUCAACCUCGGACGUGCACUCGAUACUGCGGGACUGGAGUACUGGAGAGGAGAGCGGAAUUCCCGGUGUAGAGGUGAAAUUCGUAGAUAUCGGGAGGAACACCAGUGGCGAAGGCGGCUCUCUGGACAGAUACUGACGCUGAGGCGCGAAAGCGUGGGAAGCAAACAGG